GACGAACGCUGGCGGCGUGCUUAACACAUGCAAGUCGAACGGAAAGGCCCUGCUUUUGUGGGGUGCUCGAGUGGCGAACGGGUGAGUAACACGUGAGUAACCUGCCCUUGACUUUGGGAUAACUUCAGGAAACUGGGGCUAAUACCGGAUAGGAGCUCCUGCUGCAUGGUGGGGGUUGGAAAGUUUCGGCGGUUGGGGAUGGACUCGCGGCUUAUCAGCUUGUUGGAGGGGUAGUGGCUUACCAAGGCUUUGACGGGUAGCCGGCCUGAGAGGGUGACCGGCCACAUUGGGACUGAGAUACGGCCCAGACUCCUACGGGAGGCAGCAGUGGGGAAUAUUGCACAAUGGGCGGAAGCCUGAUGCAGCAACGCCGCGUGCGGGAUGACGGCCAUCGGGUUGUAAACCGCUUUCGCCUGUGACGAAGCUUGAGUGACGGUAAUGGGUAAAGAAGCACCGGCUAACUACGUG
rnacentral:rRNA from 1 species